UUACCCUAAAUAUCUAUUUUCUGCCCCAGAAAUAAGACUUUUAUAGAACAUUUUACCUUUCCAUAACUUCCAUCACCAAAAUUGGCAAUUUAAAAUAUUUUCAUGAAGAAAAACCAUAUUGAUAUGUGUGUAUUAUUAGCAAGAAAGCCAAAUUUAGAUUUAUGUGACUGAGAGUCUUUUCACUCAUUAGUGAUGUAAUUGACUUCUCCACACCAUCCUAGACGAGAAGAAACUCAUGUUCAUAUAUCAACAAAAUGACACAUCAUUACACAUUAACUCACUGUGGUGGGUUCUGAUCAAGUGAAGCAGCAAAUGCUUAAUCUGUCUAUUGGCUUUCUAUUCUACCUGGUCUUAAAACUAGUAAGGUAGAGUUCCUGCCAUUUGAUAUAAGAAAAGGUUUUCAACGUUCUUCUGUCUCUCCCAACUAGAAUUCCCAAAUAUAUUUGUUGGUGGUUCUUCCAAUGUAGCCCAAGGAAAAUGUGUUUUAUUAGCUUGGUAUUUCAUUUGCGAAGACUGGCAUUUGUCUCUUAUUAGUAGAUACAGGAGACAUGAAGAACCCCUGAAUUCCUACAUAGCUGUCAAGAAGUAAGUGAACUGAUUUGACAGUUAUUCCAAUCACUCACUGGAAAAACAGUUUUUCUGAGAAUCAAGUACUGUUAACUCUGUUUCAAUCCUCAGAACAAUUCCUGCCAAACUUUUUAUGAGAGGUAAUGCCAUGAGAAAGCACAAUCUAUGAAAAUGAAUUGAAGUUACAAACCAGUCCACACCACAUGAUUUGCAUAGUACAAGCUUCAUUGAUGAUCACUAUCUACCAUACCUUAGAGAUGGGAUUUAGACAAUAUUCAUCUCUGGAGAUUGUAUGCUAAGGUCUGGCACAACUCUUUACACAGUGGUACUCAAAGCUAGCACUUGCAUUAGUAUUAUCUGAGAAUUAAAAAAUAAUAAGAAUAAAGCAAUGAAGUGAUAGAAUAACAUUCCUCUUUAUGUGAAAUUCCUGCUAAUAUAUUGUACAGCAUGUUGGGAUGGGGACCACACCUGCUUUUUACUCACCAUUAUUGCCCAACAAUGGAAUGGAAUGCAGUGCCUGACCCUACAUAUAUGUUGAAUAAAUGAACUGCUGUGAUCCUCCCACUGCAUCACCGCAAGUACCUUCAGACCCCAGAGCUGAUACAGACUGAUCUGGUUUGGCUGUGUCGUCACCCAAAUAUCGUCUUGAAUUGUAAUCCCCACGUCAAAGAAGGGACCUAAUGGGAGGUGACUGGAUCAUGAGGGCAGUUUCCCCCAGGCUGUUCUCAUGAUAAUGAGUGUGUUUCUUUUGACUGUAUUUUCAUCAGUCUCGUCAUUUUCCAUUUGUGCUGGGACUUUUGCCUGCGGAAGGUUUCCAAGUCUGGCUGCAAUUUGGUUACCUUGAAGAACUUCAAGCAGAGAGGCUUUUAGUGAAAAUACAGAGGAUGACUCGAGAGGAAUUGUGGUGCUUUCAGAGGCCAGAUGUCCAUCGAUCAAGAAUGACCUCAGGAAAUAGGAUGAAGAAAGCACAAACAAAUUUCCUCAGUGGGGAUUUCAUGCUAGGAUAACUUGGAGGCUCUUCUUCCCUUGCCUCUAUCCAUCCCCUGAUGUCAGUGGCCUGGCCAUGCUCUUCUCAUGGUAAUGGACAGACACACAGAAAGGCAAGUAUGCACAAGUGAAAUGGGUGACAGUGCCCUGUUUCUCUGUAAAAUGAAAAAGGACAGUUAGAAAAGGAGAAGUCCAAAAGGAAAACCAGAAGGACACCUAUAAUACAAAAGCUCUCAGAUAAUAUCAUUGUAAGAAGAACAGACAUGAGAAUUAAGAAUGUGGAAUGAAUCUGUUAACCUCAUCAUACCUGGGUACUGCUGAAAAUAAUUUGUGUACUCCCCAGAACUUCUCAGAACUGAUCUAAACACUUAAAUAGUAUGGAUUUUAUGUUAGUAAUUGAUAAUAACGAUCUUAACAAAUUUUGCACUGGUGAUACCUGUGUAUACAGCAUGGCUAUAGAGUCUUGACAUAUGUAUCAUUACAUUUUUUAAAUGUAUUUACAGCUUGAUUUUGUAGACUAGAACCCCUUUGCUUACAUUUAGUAAAAUAUGUCAAAAGGACAUAUUUAUGCAUUGAACAUCAGAGAGAAAAAUUAUCUGAAGCAACACACCAGAUACAUUUUCAGGU